ACUCGUUUAAUAAACGAUCUAAAUAUAAACUGAAUUUUUCAACUCAAAAUCCUAACGAACCAAACAUAAACUAGGAUCAGCUCACUCAUGUUCGGCUUGAUAUUGCUUGAAUAUAUACAUAUAUACUAUAAAAUUUUACUAUUUGAAUUUUUUGCCAACUAAAGUGUAAAAAAAACCAAUAUUUUGAAAUUUUUAAUUAUUAGAUUAAGAUUUUUUAAAAAAAAAACUUUUUGUCGAAAAGUAUUUGCAAGCCUGCUCGUGUUCGGCUCGUUAAUAAACAAGCCGAAUACAAGCUGAAUUUUUCAACUCGCUAUUUUAACAAGCCAACUCGUGAUGAGACUUUAAUAAAAGGACGAAUAUGAGCCUAUC
rnacentral:lncRNA from 1 species